rnacentral:rRNA from 1 species
AGUGAACGCUGGCGGUAGGCCUAACACAUGCAAGUCGAACGGCAGCACAGUAAGAGCUUGCUCUUACGGGUGGCGAGUGGCGGACGGGUGAGGAAUACAUCGGAAUCUACUUUUUCGUGGGGGAUAACGUAGGGAAACUUACGCUAAUACCGCAUACGACCUACGGGUGAAAGCAGGGGAUCUUCGGACCUUGCGCGAUUGAACUAGCCGAUGUCGGAUUAGCUAGUUGGCGGGGUAAAGGCCCACCAAGGCGACGAUCCGUAGCUGGUCUGAGAGGGUGAUCAGCCACACUGGAACUGAGACACGGUCCAGACUCCUACGGGAGGCAGCAGUGGGGAAUAUUGGACAAUGGGCGCAAGCCUGAUCCAGCCAUACCGCGUGGGUGACGAAGGCCUUCGGGUUGUAAAGCCCUUUUGUUGGGAAAGAAAAGCAGCAGGUUAAUACCCCGCUGUUCUGACGGUACCCAAAGAAUAAGCACCGGCUAACUUCGUG